AUUGAACGCUGGCGGCAUGCUUUACACAUGCAAGUCGAACGGCAGCACGGGGGCAACCCUGGUGGCGAGUGGCGAACGGGUGAGUAAUACAUCGGAACAUGCCCAGUAGUGGGGGACAACGCGUCGAAAGAUGUGCUAAUACCGCAUACGCACUGAGGUGGAAAGCGGGGGAUCGUAAGACCUCGCGCUAUUGGAGUGGCCGAUGUCCGAUUAGCUAGUUGGUGGGGUGAUGGCCCACCAAGGCGACGAUCGGUAGCUGGUCUGAGAGGAUGAUCAGCCACACUGGACUGAGACACGGCCCAGACUCCUACGGGAGGCAGCAGUGGGGAAUUUUGGACAAUGGGCGCAAGCCUGAUCCAGCCAUGCCGCGUGAGUGAAGAAGGCCUUCGGGUUGUAAAGCUCUUUCGGCCGGAACGAAAUCGUCAGGGCUAAUACCACUGAUGGAUGACGGUACCGGAAGAAGAAGCACCGGCUAACUACGUGCCAGCAGCCGCGGUAAUACGUAGGGUACAGGCGUUAAUCGGAAUUACUGGGCGUAAAGCGUGCGCAGGCGGCUUCCUAAGUCAGAUGUGAAAUCCCCGGGCUUAACCUGGGAACUGCGUUUGAAACUGGGAGGCUAGAGUGCGGCAGAGGGGGGUGGAAUUCCACGUGUAGCAGUGAAAUGCGUAGAUAUGUGGAGGAACACGGAUGGCGAAGGCAGCCCCCUGGGCCAGCACUGACGCUCAUGCACGAAAGCGUGGGGGAGCAAACAGGAUUAGAUACCCUGGUAGUCCACGCCCUAAACUAUGUCGACUAGUUGUUGGGGGAGUC
rnacentral:rRNA from 1 species